UGGGGAAUAUUGCACAAUGGGCGCAAGCCUGAUGCAGCCAUGCCGCGUGUAUGAAGAAGGCCUUCGGGUUGUAAAGUACUUUCAGCGAGGAGGAAGGCGUUGUGGUUAAUAACCGCAGCGAUUGACGUUACUCGCAGAAGAAGCACCGGCUAACUCCGUGCCAGCAGCCGCGGUAAUACGGAGGGUGCAAGCGUUAAUCGGAAUUACUGGGUGUAAAGCGCACGCAGGCGGUCUGUCAAGUCGGAUGUGAAAUCCCCGGGCUCAACCUGGGAACUGCAUCCGAAACUGGCAGGCUAGAGUCUUGGAGAGGGGGGUAGAAUUCCAGGUGUAGCGGUGAAAUGCGUAGAGAUCUGGAGGAAUACCGGUGGCGAAGGCGGCCCCCUGGACAAAGACUGACGCUCAGGUGCGAAAGCGUGGGGAGCAAACA
rnacentral:rRNA from 1 species